AGUGGCGGACGGGUGAGUAACGCGUGAGAAUCUGCCUUGGGGUCGGGGACAACCACUGGAAACGGUGGCUAAUACCGGAUAAGCCGAUUGGUGAAAGAUUUAUUGCCCGAAGAGGAGCUCGCGUCUGAUUAGCUAGUUGGUGAGGUAAGAGCUCACCAAGGCAGCGAUCAGUAGCUGGUCUGAGAGGACGAUCAGCCACACUGGGACUGAGACACGGCCCAGACUCCUACGGGAGGCAGCAGUGGGGAAUUUUCCGCAAUGGGCGAAAGCCUGACGGAGCAAGACCGCGUGAGGGAGGAAGGCUCUUGGGUUGUAAACCUCUUUUCUCAGGGAAGAAGCUCUGACGGUACCUGAGGAAUCAGCCUCGGCUAACUCCGUGCCAGCAGCCGCGGUAAUACGGAGGAGGCAAGCGUUAUCCGGAAUGAUUGGGCGUAAAGCGUCCGCAGGUGGCAAUGUAAGUCUGCUGUCAAAACCCAGGGCUCAACUCUGGUCAGGCAGUGGAAACUACAUAGCUAGAGUUCGGUAGGGGCAAAGGGAAUUCCCGGUGUAGCGGUGAAAUGCGUAGAGAUCGGGAAGAACAUCGGUGGCGAAAGCGCUUUGCUAGACCGAAACUGACACUCAGGGACGAAAGCUAGGGGAGCGAAUGGGAUUAGAUACCCC
rnacentral:rRNA from 1 species